rnacentral:lncRNA from 1 species
UCCUCUAUAUAAACCCUUCACGUCCUUCUUUCCCUACGCCUUCACUUUCGUCGGAUUCGCCAGCGCGCCGGUGCGGUUGUCGUCGAGUCGGUUUGCGACUGUGUGGUGGCACACAAUUGGAGGGGCGGGAGAAUGAGAGCGGUGAUGGGACUCAAGGAGCAGGCCGUGAAGUCAAUUAAAGAUACUGCCGGUGGCGUGACCUCCGGCUCGCACAGAGCUAGACGGCUGUCCGGCGGCCUCGACUCCUCCUCCCAUGAUUUCAAGCCUGCCGAGGCCCGCGGUGAGGGUAAGGUGAAGAGGGCCGAGGAGUCCUUGCGCACCGUCAUGUACUUGAGCUGCUGGGGUCCCAAUUAACCUGAUCUAUAUGCCAUCCCCUUUUGUUCCUCGAUAGAAGUAUCGAUCACCUCUUCGAUGCAUACAAAAGAAGAAGACUCAUCGUUAGUGUCAGUGUAUAUAUAUAUAUAUAUGUAUAUAUAUCGGCUUCAAUGACUUUGUGUGCAUGGCUGUAAAAAUUCCAUUGUAAGAAUGUACAAAAAGCUGAGGUCUUGGGGAAGAUAAUGGAUGUUUUACCUUGCUCUGUAAUUCCAUGGUUUCCUGUGGUAGCAAAAGUUCUUGUUGAAACUGUUGCCUCUUCUCUUGCUAAUAGUUAGUGCAAGCAGCUGAGCCGUAUAAUAAACAGAGGAAGAAACAGAGGGGAACAAUAUAAUAAUUGGAUUGAUUGAUUGAUUGAUUCAAUGAGGACGAGACAUACACGCAGACGAUAAUAAUUGGACUUGUGAACCAUGAUUGAGGCCCCGCCGUAUUAAUGAAUUAUAGGGCAUGAUUGUGAUGGAUGGGAUCAAGCGACGGAUACAAACGAAAUGGUUGUCGACCGCAUUGUACUAGUCCUGGAAUCGGAAAGAAGCGUUCGCCGCUGUCAAAGGGGCCAUCUUUCUUUGGAGCUUCUCGGUGGCCUAUCCACGAGACAUGGUUGUGGUGAGAUGGGUUUGACAACGUUAGAACGGUGCCUGUUUGCCAUUAGAUAUUAACAACGUACAUUUCAAUCUGUAUGUGCACAUAUAAUGCAUAAACUAGUGAAGAUUACUUUGGAACUUUGACUUCCUACUGGACCUACACAUUAUAUUAUAUUUCUUAGCCCUACAAACCAGCCGACUCACGCAAUCCGUCUAAUAUCUAUCUAUAGCUGAUUAUUAUGUUCCUCACGCUGUGCUUUCUUUGCGUUCCAAGAGAUGAAUUAACACACCGAUUCUAAUUGGGUUGCAGAUACAGUGUUUGGACAGCGACUCGACAUAAACCCAGACUCGAUAUCAAACUAAUCUUCGGACGUCACAGCAGCAUACGAGUUCAUGUCGAUUGUAUGGCUGUUUAGACGAACUCCACCAGCUUGUAAAGCACAAAACAUAAU